AUUGAACGCUGGCGGCAGGCCUAACACAUGCAAGUCGAACGAGUGGCGGACGGGUGAGUACUGUCUGGGAAACUGCCUGAUGGAGGGGGAUAACUACUGGAAAAGGUAGCUAAUACCGCAUACCAUCGGAUGUGCCCAGAGGGGAUUAGCGAGUAGGUGGGGUAAAGGCGCACCCAGGCGACGAUCCCUAUCUGGUCUGAGAGGAUGACCAUCCACAAUGGAACUGAGACACGGUCCAGAGUCCUACGGUAGGCAGCAGUGGGUAAUAUUGCACAAUGGGCUCAAGCCUUAUGCAGCCAUGCCGCGUGUAUGAAGAAGUCCUUCGGGUUGUAAAGUACUUUCAGCGGGGAGGCGUUACCCGCCGAAGAAGCACCGGCUAACUCCGUGCCAGCAGCUGCGGUAAUUC
rnacentral:rRNA from 1 species